AAUGCGGAGACUGCUACUUUGAAAUUCUUCGGAUGCUCAUUUGUUGGCGGAAACCGCCUUAAUCGAAAUGGCUUGAACCGGGCAAAAGUCGUAACAAGGUUUCCGUAGGUGAACCUGCGGAAGGAUCAUUAU
rnacentral:rRNA from 1 species